rnacentral:rRNA from 1 species
UACGUAGGGUGCAAGCGUUAAUCGGAAUUACUGGGCGUAAAGCGUGCGCAGGCGGUGAUGUAAGACAGGUGUGAAAUCCCCGGGCUUAACCUGGGAACUGCAUUUGUGACUGCAUCGCUGGAGUGCGGCAGAGGGGGAUGGAAUUCCGCGUGUAGCAGUGAAAUGCGUAGAUAUGCGGAGGAACAUCCGUGGCGAAGGCGGCCAUCUGGAUCAACACUGACGCUGAGGCACGAAAGCGUGGGGAGCAAACAGG